ensembl:lncRNA
ACAAGUUUAUUUCUCAUUUGUCUUCAUCGGAAGGACUUUAAGAUUGGAACAUUUAAUAGACCUCUACUGACAGCUGAUGGAAAGAUUAGAGCUCAACGGUUGGAGAUAUUUGGAAAAGGAAUGUGUUCGGCUAUGGGGAUUGAUGGGAAAAUGGGAGGAGAGAGAACUCUGGGACCUGAAAUGGAGACUGAUUAAGCUAAAAGCCCAAGAAGCUGCUGUUGGAAGGAGAACAAUGGAUCCCACCUCCUUGUGGAGGCAGCAUCUGGGUCCAUCCAGGGAAAUGCAGGCGCCCCUCUUCAAGGGAAUUGUGUGGUAGCCACGUAGUCUUCUUGAGAAAGCCAGUCCCGAGAGGCUUCUCACAUUUUAGGGGCUCAGCUCUGUCUGAGGAGAGAGAACAUUUGUCAGCGAAACAAACCGUGUGAGGAAGUCGUGGCCUUUACGAAGAAACAGGGUAUUCAAAACAUGAUUCCUCUGGUUCCAUCAUAAUAAUCCACCAGAAGUUCAUUUCGUGGGUGUAUUUUUCUAGCCUCAAUGAAUCCAGGCAUUCCCACAGAAUUUUAGUCGAGAAAUGGGGACUGUGGAGAUGCUUGUUUUUUCAAUUCAUAGACUACUUAUGAGGUCAAUGAAGCUACUGAUUCCACUCACAUACAUUUACCACGCCCUCCCUUCCUCCUCCUCCAUCAAAGGUUACUGAUUCAUUCCAGAAACAAAGGUGUAGGCAUUGGCAGAUCCUAUACUUAAACUGGAACUGACCCACAGGGAAGCUUGAAGCAAUGAAGGACUCCUGUUGGUGGACAGUGCAGGAAAGUCUGAAGAGAGAUGUCUGUGGCCGGGAAGGAUGCCUCAUGGUGACACUUAAGAAGACCAGCAAAUGCCCAGACAAAAUGAAGUAGGCAAUGGCCGAGCCUCUAACUUCCUCCGAGUUGUAAGUCCAUCCCUGAAUUUAAGAGGAAAUGAGGCUCUGAAGAAGAGUCCUUCUCCUCUUCUGGAGUCCCAAAAUGUUAAAGCUGGAAAGAACCUGAACUUGGUCUAACGCAGACCUUCCAUUUUACAGCCCCCAGGUACAUAGUUGUGUGUUCUUCGUUGUGGGUCCUUCUAGUUGUGGCAUGUGGGAUGCUGCCUCAGCGUGGCUUGACAAGUAGUGCCACGUCCGCGCCCAGGAUUCGAACCAACGAAACACUGGGCCGCCUGCAGCGGAGUGCGCGAACUUAACCACUCGGCCACGGGGCCAGCCUGCCUUUCCCUCCUUUUAAAAAUAUUUUAUGAAUUGAG